rnacentral:rRNA from 1 species
AUUGAACGCUGGCGGCAGGCCUAACACAUGCAAGUCGAGCGGUAGAGAGGUGCUUGCAUCUCUUGAGAGCGGCGGACGGGUGAGUAAUGCCUAGGAAUCUGCCUAGUGGUGGGGGAUAACGUUCGGAAACGGACGCUAAUACCGCAUACGUCCUACGGGAGAAAGCGGGGGAUCUUCGGACCUCGCGCCAUUAGAUGAGCCUAGGUCGGAUUAGCUAGUUGGUGAGGUAAUGGCUCACCAAGGCGACGAUCCGUAACUGGUCUGAGAGGAUGAUCAGUCACACUGGAACUGAGACACGGUCCAGACUCCUACGGGAGGCAGCAGUGGAGAAUAUUGGACAAUGGGCGAAAGCCUGAUCCAGCCAUGCCGCGUGUGUGAAGAAGGUACUUCGGAUUGUAAAGCACUUUAAGUUGGGAGGAAGGGUAGGUAACCUAAU